AGGGUGGUGGUGCUGGCAGUGGUUAUACUGUCCCAUACACACCACACACACACACACACACACACACACACACACACACUGUCAUGAACACUCAAAAGACAAUCAUACACACACACACGUGAUGUGUUGCUAUAUCACCGAUAGAUUUCAAGCAGUGCCAAUCACCUAUCACCAUGCGGCAAGACAAGCAGUGCCUUCACCACAAUCUCAACACUGCCUUAUCUUCAUCAAUUAAAGGCUCAGACGUGAAGACGGAAGUAAUAGAAGAAAGAAGAAGGAGAAAUAAAGGAGGAGGACGAAGAAUAAACGAGAAAUAGAGGCGGAAUAGGAGAAGGAGCUAAGAUGUUUGUUGGGUUCCUGAAGAUGCGUCGACGUGUUAUCAUCCACGCAAGCUUCCCCAACCCAGCCAGUGUACCACAGGACGGGAGGAGGAAGCCAGCGGCUGCAUGCACCAUUGAACAGGACGGCAUUGUAUUCCUCCCACAGGAGUGACUACAGCGAAGCAAGCCCAGAAUAAAGUGUUGAGUGACCGUGAUGAUUCAGUACUACUAACACCAAACAAGUGAGGGAAGUGUUCGGAGUGAACGUGCAAGACAUACAACAGACACCAGACUGCUGCCGCUGCUGCUACUGCCGGUGUAGCCAAAGGAACAAAAGGUCCGGAGCAAGAGGAAGAAAUGGGUGAUUCUUGGAAACGCACCAAUGAAGUUGUGAAGGUUGGCCACAAAUCUUCAUCACUGGUGUAGUGUAUUUCAUUGACCAUUUGUAGAUUGGGUGGAUAAACUUGUAGAUUUUGUAGACAGUUGUAGAUGUGUAGCUAGUGGGUAAGGUUUUUUGCAAUGCCUUAUCUACACCAGCAGAAAACAGUGAUAUGGACAACUUGUGCAUAGCAUAGUGAUAGCAGUGUACAGUGUACAUGUAUACCUCUUUUUCUUUUCAAUGAUGUCUCGGGUGUGUCGCCUAGUGCGUUCCCUUGUCCCGCUUCGAGAGAGAGAGAGAGAGAGAGCGAUUCGGAUCACCACCGCGUCGAGCUGCCUGCCCACCUCCCUCCAUUGUCCUUCCCCUCUCACUUGAGUAUUGUGAACGUUGUAUUUAUUUUCAUCACGCCUCUGUGUUUGUAAAGGGAGAGUGUUCCAAUAAGUGAGCUCUGUUUGCAGUCACAUGUGUAUUUCAAAGGUGUUUUGCCAAGUGCUGUGCUGAGGUGUUGUGGUGUAUCUGUCUAUACGGUGUUCGAGCUAGCUUUCGCCCAUGUUUGUGACGCUACCUUCCGUACUGCAUUUAAUGUCUGU